rnacentral:lncRNA from 1 species
UUAUGAGCUGGUGUGCAGAGAAACGAUGUAUAGCUCUACGCGCUGCCCUGGGCUACGACAAUCACCACCGAGUACCUGCUGCAACAACAGUGUGCUGCCCUGAUUUUGGAUUUGGUUUUGUAGUGAUUUUAUCGAUGGUGUUUGCAGUUGGUAAUGGUGGAGGUGACGGCAACGGUGUCUGUGAGUUGGUAGUGAUUGUGGUGACUUAUUAUAUAAUUAGUAUGUGAAUGGUUGGUGGUGGAGCUGGUUGUUUGUGGCUGAAGAUCUGAUAAUGGUGUUUGUGGUGAUUUUUGUUGGUAGUGGAUUGGAUCUAGUGGUGACGGCUUUUGUUGUUUAUGGUGUUGGUACUAUUGUGGUGGUGGCAGUGGCAAA